UGGUAGUUCAGUUGGUAGAGCGGUGACCUGUAGAGUAUGUAGCUGAUAUUCAUAGAUCUCUGGUUCCAUUCCGGUUC
rnacentral:tRNA from 1 species